UAUAAAGGUUGAGGAUGAACACGGAUGCGGCCACUUUCAUUUUUGACAAAAACUAUCUGAAAAGUGACCUCUUUUGGCAUAUUUGAUAGAUUCUUCAUAUUUAAGCUUGAAUCGGAGCGUUUUUAAUGACUAAAUCAGUUAAAAUCUUUUACUUAAACUAAUUGAAUCAGUUGAAAUAGACACUUAAGUGUUUAAAAAGUGUCCAAAAUCUUUCGUUCGAUGAACCUGAAAUUUGAGGCCAAAAUCGGCCCUUACCGGACCUACUCCUUU
rnacentral:lncRNA from 1 species